rnacentral:rRNA from 1 species
ACGUAGGGGGCAAACGUUGUCCGGAUUUACUGGGUGUAAAGGGUGCUCAGGCGGUUUUGUAAGUCAGAAGUGAAAUCCUAGGGCUUAACUCUGGAACUGCUCUUGAUACUGCAAGGCUUGAAUAUGGAAGAGGAGGGCGGAAUUUCUGGUGUAGCAGUGAAAUGCGUAGAUAUCAGAAAGAACACCAGUGGCGAAGGCGGCCCUCUGGUCCAUUAUUGACGCUAAAGCACGAAAGCGUGGGGAGCAAACAGGA